CCCAAAUGAUGAUUACCUCAAAUGUCCGACCUACAUAUUGGCUUCAGAGCCUGAAAAGGUGAACCCACUGGGGCCAUAUGUAGGAAAAGAUGGAUGCACUGUUCCAGCUGGAACUGUCUGACUGGGC
rnacentral:snoRNA from 1 species